UCAGAUUCUGGGAAUUUCCAACGCGGCUGGCAGCGCUGCGUCAGAUUUUCCCGGACGCCGGCGUGCGGUGCCCGGCGCGGCCGCUGGGGGGCGCGGCGCGGGGCGCGGAGCGUGGGAAGCGCGGGCGCGCGGGCAGGCUGAGCUCACACGCCCGGGCAGCGGCGGCGGGGCCGGCGUCCGCAGCGGCUGCGCAUCUCGCACCUCCCGCGGGGCGCUCCCGGGGCGGCCGGGCGGGUGGCGCAGUCCCCCCGGAGGAAAGCCGCCGCGGGAGAGGACUGGAGAAUGACAGAACAGAGGGACAGAGGGACACCGGCUCAGCCAAUCCUGAGCUGUGCAGCACUUUCCCCCAACAAACCCAGAGGAGGGGGCUGCUGGCUCCCCGCCCCUCCCCUGCCUGUGGCCCCCUUGCUGCUCCCCUGUGGGAAGGGCAGCCUGGCCACCUGAGGCUGCAGGGGCAGAGGCUGGCAUGGGCCAGGGUGGUGAUGGUGCCGCAGCCCCUCCCCGUGGCCCAGCGUGGGAAGAAGAACGAAGAGCCAGGCAAGUCUCUCUCUGUGUCCUCUGGGGUGGAAGGAGCAGGUAUAGACAGGGCUGGGGCGGCCAGGGCCUGGUGAUCCUUUGGCAUUGGUGGCGAGAGGGCUGUUCCUUCCAGCCCCUUGGGUUUGGUUCCACCCCUGCGUGCUUAUUGGUGCUACCAUGUUAUAUAACGCUUAUAUAACCUCCCAGGGCAAGCGCUCUGUCUCCACUCCCAGGUCACGCAGACACUGUGUCCAUGGGGGAGGCAGGAUCCGUGGAGGCUUGUGGGUAGAACUACUCCCCCCAUUCUCAACCUGGCUCUUUCAUUCUCCUGAUCCCGGACAUAGGAGGGGGCACGGAAAACAGGGGCCCACUCCACACCAGCUGUCUGGGGCUGAGGAGGGGGAGGGCGGGUGGUUGGGCAGUCUUCCUCACCUUCUUGCCCUCUAGUCCCUGUUGCCCAAGAGGCUCUGGUGGAGUGGUGCCAGGCUUGUGCUUUGAGAUCAGCUUUUUGUUCGUGGGGCCCCCUGGCGUGGCAGAUGGGUGUGGUGAGACGAUCCCCAGCAUGUUGCAGUGGAAGAAUAUAUGGUACAUCGUGUUGGAUAAAGAGAGGCAGAAAUGAGCUCCACCUUUGACGUUUUGAGCAAGAGCGACUAGAAAGAUGGUGGUGGCGUUAUAAAAAAAAUUGGUGCAGGCCUAGGGGCUAGGGGAUGGUCAGGGAAGGGUGUACAGGGAAGUGGAUCAGAAAGCAAAGAUAAACAUGGUGUUCUUUUACUGUACUCUCCACUGGGCUGUCCCUGGUUACCAGGGCAACAGAAGCAGUGAUGAAAAUCAUGCCUUUCCUUCAGUGGAAAAAUUUGGCUCCUCCUCCCACCUCUUCCUUCUCUAAUCGCCUGCGACCCAUGGGGAGGGUGAUGUCUCCAGGGAUCAGAGACCUCAGCCUAUCUUCGUCAUGCCCCCUAUGCCCAAUUUUUAAAAAUGAUCUCCCCCCUUCCUGCAUCCCCCGUCUCCCCCAGAGCUUGGCAGUUACGUAGGAGUUGGAGUGGAUGGAGGGGGAAGGGCAUGGACGUCAUUGCAGAACCGGGCGAGCAGAGCGUGGGCAGAGAUGUGGAUGCAGGAAUGACUGGCACAUGACGAGGGUUCGGCGUCGAUCAGCGGGAUGGAGCCUGUUUCUGAGAUGGGCCCGCCCAGACUGCUGGACCAGUUUCUGCUGAUGAACACCCACGUCUUCUACCAAACCACACCCUUUUUUGAAGUUCGGGUUUCUAUUUAAGUUUUCUUUUCUCUAAUAACUAUGACCAGGAGGAUAUGUCCUGGAAGGAUUUUAUAUAUAUAUUCAGAGGCCCAAUGCACAAAAUUCAUGCAAGGGGCUCGGCCUUCACAGCUGUGGCAGCUGCCUCGGUCCUCACAGCCCCAGCUUCAUCUGGAAGGUCAUCCGGA